rnacentral:rRNA from 1 species
UACGGGGGGGGCAAGCGUUGUUCGGAAUUACUGGGCGUAAAGGGCUCGUAGGCGGCCAACUAAGUCAGACGUGAAAUCCCUCGGCUUAACCGGGGAACUGCGUCUGAUACUGGAUGGCUUGAGUUUGGGAGAGGGAAGCGGAAUUUCCGGUGUAGCGGUGAAAUGCGUAGAUAUCGGAAGGAACACCAGUGGCGAAAGCGGCUUCCUGGUCCAGCACCGACGUUCAGGCACGAAAGCGUGGGGAGCAAACAGG